rnacentral:rRNA from 1 species
GGGUCAGUAGGUUGGUCGUGCCACCGGUACGUACUGGUCUCACUGAUUCCUCCUUCCUGAAGAACCGUAAUGCCAUUAAUUUGGUGUUGCUGGGAAACAGGACUGUUACUUUGAAUAAAUUAGAGUGUUUAAGGCAAGCUAACGCUUGAAUACAUUAGCAUGGAAUAAUGAAAUAGGACGAUCGAUCCUAUUUUGUUGGUUUCUAGGAUUGACGUA